rnacentral:rRNA from 1 species
GACGAACGCUGGCGGCGUGCCUAAUACAUGCAAGUCGAACGAGUGGCGGACGGGUUAUGAACACCUGGGAACCUACCCAUCAGAGGGGGAUAACACUUGGAAACAGGUGCUAAUACCGGAUAGAAGUAUGGACUCGCGGUGGAUUAGCUAGUUGGUGGGGUAACGGCUCACCAAGGCCACGAGGCCUAGCCGGUCUGAGAGGGUGAUCAGCCACACUGGAACUGAGACACGGUCCAGACUCCUACGGGAGGCAGCAGUGGGGAAUAUUGCACAAUGGGCGCAAGCCUGAUGCAGCCAUGCCGCGUGUGUGAAGAAGGCCUUCGGGUUGUAAAGCACUUUCAGCGAGGAGGCGUUACCCGCAGAAGAAGCACCGGCUAACUCCGUGCCAGCAGCCGCGGUAAUUC